GAGGGUAUGGGGCAGUUUUCAAAGGGUAUGGUCUCCAAAUCCUAUCUUCUAUAUGUGUCUGAGCUUAAAUGUUGGUGAAAGUUAUGAGUUCCAAGGAGAUCACCGGGAACUAGCUACUCCGGAAGCGACAUGGGAGUUCCCGGCAUCCAUGGCAAUGCGGAGAACAUCACGGUACCAUGGUCAUUGUGUACGGUAGAGAACAACAAACGGUUUCUAAGAAUUUUAAAAAGGGGCUAUCGGAUUAAGCCGGGUUUACUGGGUGGGGGAAGGUGGUUUCGUAAUACAUUGACUUAGAAGCUUUUGUUCGAUUUGGGCUUGUAAGU
rnacentral:lncRNA from 1 species